rnacentral:tRNA from 1 species
GGUAGAAUGGCUGAGAAAAUAGGCGAUAAAUUGUAAAUUUAUUUAGGAGAAAAAAUCUCUUCUAUCA